rnacentral:lncRNA from 1 species
UUACAAUACACUUGCCUCACCCUUCCAGAGUGCCAGGAUUAUAGGCCUGUGACACCAAGCUCAGAUAAGAGUUCAGCUUUGAAUGUGGGUAUCUGGGGUGUCUACUGAUAUGCAUCCUCAGGACCCAGCCUCCACACUCUCAACAACUGUCACCAAAAUCGCUCUUCUCUGGGCACGGCCUUCCGUCUUAGGAGAAAAAAGACUUUUAAGAAGAUGAGGGAUAAUGAUCAUUGGAUCGAGCAUCUGAUGGCCGUGGCAGAUUAAAUGAGGAGGGCAGAAUCCUCCAUGAUGCAUCUGACUCCAGAUUGGAACAGAGCACUGCUGGCUCCUCUCAGACUUAAAAGUUUUCUUUGCCUGCUUGCCU